CUGAAACGCUGUCGGCGUGGCUAAGACAUGCAAGUCGUUACGGGGUAGCAAUACCCAGUGGCGCACGGGUGAGUAAUGAAUAGCUAACGUACCCCUUAGUCUGGGAUAGCUGGACCGAAAGGUCAGGUAAUACCAGAUGACAUCACGGACGUUCGCAUGGCGUUUGUGCUCAAAGGGCAACCGCUUUGGGAUCGGGCUAUUUUGUAUCAGGUAGUUGGUAAGGUAAUGGGCUUACCAAGCCUUUGACGCAUAGCCGGACUGAGAGGGUCGGCCGGCCACAUCGAAAACUGAGGACACUGUUCGGACUCCUACGGGGGGCUGCAGUAAACGAAUCUUCCGCAAUGCCACGGAAGUGUGGACGGAGCGACGCCGAGUGGUGGGAUGAAUUCCUUCGGGAUGUAAACCACUGUCAAGAGAAAGAAAGUUUCUGAUCUACUCUAAAGGAAGUGGCGGACCAACUCUGUGCCAGCAGUCCGCGGUAAUACAGAGGGCCACAAGCGUUAGGCGGAAUCACUGGGCUUAAAGCGUGUUGUAGGCGGGAUGGUAAGUACCUUGUGAAAUCCCCACGGCCUUAACCGUGGAAUUGCUUGGUAUACUGCCGUUCUUGAGUCAUCUAGGGGCAGCCGGAAACAGAUGGUGGAGCGGUGAAAUGCGUAGAUAUCAUCUGGAACGCCAAUGGUUGCAGACAGGCUGCUGGGGAUGUACUGACCGCUGAGGCAACGAAAGGCCAGGGGAGCAAACGGGAUUAGAUACCCCGGUAGUCCCUGGCCCUAAACGAUGUCCUACUAGAUCGUGGCGGCACUGGACGCCGUCAUGGUCGAAGCAAAAGUGUUAAGUAGACCGCCUGGGAAAGUACGGUCGCAAGGCUAAAAACUCAAAGAAAAUUGACGGGGGCUCACACAAGCGGUGGAGCAUGUGGUUCAAUUCGAAGCAACGCGAAGAAACCUUACCUGGGCUUGACAUGCUAGGAUUAUCUUGGUGAAAGUCGAGUAGGCCCCGCAAGGGGUACAACUAGUACAGGUGCUUGCAUGGCUUGUCGUCAGCUCGUGGUCGUGAGAUGUCCGGGUUAGGUCCCUUAACGAGCGAAAACCUUUGCCCUUAGUUUGCCAUCGGGUUAUGCCGGGCACUCUAAGGGGGACUGCCGGUGUCAAAACCGGAGGAAGGUGGAGAUGACGUCAAGUCCUCAUGGCCUUUAUGCCCAGGGCCACACACGUGCUACAAUGGCGUCCCACAAAAGCGAGUCGAGAGCGCAAGCUGGAGGAAAUCGCAGAAAUGACGCCCCAGUUCAGAUUAGAGGCUGCAAACUCGCCUCUAUGAAGUUGGAAUCGCUAGUAAUCGCGGAUCAGCUACGCCGCGGUGAAUGUGUUUCCUGAGCCUUGUACACACACCGCCCGUCAAGUCCAUGGGAGCCGGAAAUAGCCGAAGUCGCCAAGAUACGUUGGUGCCUAAGCUGGGUUCGGUGGACUGGGACU
rnacentral:rRNA from 1 species